CAGUCGCCGCGGUAAUACGAAGGGUGCAAGCGUUACUCGGAAUUACUGGGCGUAAAGCGUGCGUAGGCGGUUUGUUAAGUCUGCUGUGAAAUCCCCGGGCUCAACCUGGGAAUGGCAGUGGAUACUGGCAAGCUAGAGUGUGUCAGAGGAUGGUGGAAUUCCCGGUGUAGCGGUGAAAUGCGUAGAGAUCGGGAGGAACAUCAGUGGCGAAGGCGGCCAUCUGGGACAACACUGACGCUGAGGCACGAAAGCGUGGGGAGCAAACAGGAUUAGAUACCCGGGUAGUCCCUGUCUCUUAUAC
rnacentral:rRNA from 1 species